GAGUCACCCAUGCUUGCCCAUUACAGAUAGAGAGGAGUGACUAGAUAUAAAAUGAAAGUGUUCUGUCUUGCUCACAUGCUCUCAUUGUAUUUCUUUACACAGAGGAUAUCCUUCCGUACUGUAGGCCUACUUUCCCAACGUCAAACAACCCUAGAGAUCCCAGUUCUUCAAGCUCAAUGUCAUCUAGAGGCUCAGGAAGCCGACAGAGAGAGCAAGCAAAUGUGGGCCGAAGAAAUAUGGCAGAAAUGCAAGUACUCGGGGGAUUUGAAAGAGGAGAUGAGAAUAAUGAAGAAUUAGAGGAAACUGAAAGCUGAAGACCAGCAGAGAGGCUUAUGAUGCCCAUGUGAAAAGCCGUCACUCAAGAGGCCUCACGUCGGAUGACACACCGUACCAGAUGAAACGUUCAGUGCAAUCGGAAUGGACAAAUCGUCGUUUUUAUUCCUCCUGUUGGGAUAACAUUUUUAAAAAGUUUCUUGGGUUUUUAGUGUUGCUGAUUGAUUGCCUAACCCUUAAUGAAUCUCCCCCUGCCGCGAUGCUGUUGCAGCCGUUAUACUUGACUUCCGGUAUUGGAAGUGUCUUGAAUGCUUGCUUCAGCCAGCAGCCAGCGAGAAAGAACAGAUCAGUUCUUUUUGCGAUUUGCCCCUGAGAUAUGGCAUUGCACUGCUUAUCUAUCCAGCUAAUUGAUAGCAAAAUAUUGAUCAAAGAUACAAAGGGGAUCACUCAACCUCAUGCCAAGGGCUCUCAAAGUAUAACCGUUCUGUGACCAACUGCUAAUGCCAGUUAAAGCGUAUUUCAUUUUACGUGAGUUUUAGAAUCAGUCUUUCAUGCCACCCUUUGCUGGGAUAAACUAAAAAUCUAUCACACGCAGAAUUACAGUUCAUUUGAAUGGGAUAGAAGCAUUGUAAAUAUAUACUCUUUGCAACUCCUGGUGGUACUUUAUUUUGUCUUUAUUUCAAUCAUUGAAAUAUAUUCUUGGAAAUGUACUUUUGGAUAAGUAGGGCUAAGCCAGUUGGACCUCUGGUUGUCUAGUCAUUGUGAGAAGCAAACCUAGCAAAAAUCUUGUUCUAUUUUUCAAUCAAAAAGCAACUACGAAUGCAUAUUACAAGCAAAUGGAUGUUUUUAAUGACCAAUUGGGUAAGGACAUCCCUAUCUUAACUGGCCUGAAUUUCUUCUGGUAGUGUCAAUUCAGAAGUGCCACUUAAGGAGGUUUGUUUGAUUUAUUUUGUUUGUUUUUGUAAUGCACUGUUUUUAAUCUUUUUUUUUUUUUUUUGUUUUAAAAGCACAAUCACUAAACUUUAUUUGUAAACCAUUGUAACUAUUAACCUUUUUUGUCUUAUUGAGGAAGCUGUUGAGAAGUGUUUUUAGCCUGUUUUGUUAAUGCUCUGUGUUUCUAUUUGCAAUAUUUGAAUGGUGACAGCUAGCGAGGUCAGGUACCGACUUCAUCGUGGGCUGUGAACCAAGUGGUUCCAAUUUUUCCUGGACUUAAAGAGAAAAAAAAAAAAGAGUUGUUUUAAGUUUGUUGUGGCCAAUGUUGAAUCUUAAAAGAUUUCCUUAGACACUCAUGAGAGGCAUUCCGACUUGGAACUGAGAAGUGAUGCUCCGUGACUGUAGAUUUCUAUGGGUUUUCUUUUUUCUUUUCUUUUUUUUUUUUUGUUUGUUUUUUGGUGUUUUUACAUUUUACAAAUUUCAUUGACUUUAUAAUUGGUGCUAUUUGAAGAAAACAAAAUGAACCUUUAGUCAUACAUAGGUAUCAGGCUUGACCCCACAAAACCAAACAAAAUUGACCCACAAAAUAGAUAAAUAAAUAAAAUCAAAAGUUCACCAGAAACUAAGUGUAUUCAUUUAGAUAAUUUGAAAAGGCCCCAUGUCCCAUAGAAAGGAUGUGCAGUUCUAAGGGAACAACCCACGUGAUUAAUGUUUUCAUUAUGUUCAUGUAAGAAACCUCUUAUUUUUAGCCAUACUUUUGCAUACUGAAAAUUCAAUAAUCAAAAAAGUAAUUUUGUCAUAUUAUUUAUUAAAAAUGUUCUCAAAUACAUCA